rfam:Erinaceus europaeus unplaced genomic scaffold scaffold00431, whole genome shotgun sequence
GUCUACGGCCAUACCACCCUGAACAUGCCCCAUCUCGUCUAAUCUCGGAAGCUAAGCAAGGUCAGGCCUAAUUAGUACUUGGAUGGGAGAGGGGAGAGGAAGGAGACAGAUUCU